rnacentral:rRNA from 1 species
UACGUAGGUGGCAAGCGUUGUCCGGAAUUAUUGGGCGUAAAGCGCGCGCAGGCGGUCCUUUAAGUCUGAUGUGAAAGCCCACGGCUCAACCGUGGAGGGUCAUUGGAGACUGGAGGACUUGAGUACAGAAGAGAAGAGUGGAAUUCCACGUGUAGCGGUGAAAUGCGUAGAGAUGUGGAGGAACACCAGUGGCGAAGGCGACUCUUUGGUCUGUAACUGACGCUGAGGCGCGAAAGCGUGGGGAGCAAACAGG